GCCGGAAAGCUCAGUUGGGAGAGCGUUAGACUGAAGUUGUUUACGCAACAGUCAUCUAAAGGCCCCCGAUUCAAUUCCGGGUUUCGGCA
rnacentral:tRNA from 1 species